CAGCCGCGGUAUUCCAGCUCCAAUAGCGUAUAUUAAAGUUGCUGCAGUUAAAAAGCUCGUAGUUGAAUUUCGGGACCAUCAUGUCGGUCGUGCCUCGGUACGUACUGGCAUUGUUGGUUUCUACCUUCUGACGAACCAUGAUGUCAUUUAUUUGGUGUCGUGGGAAAUCAGGACUGUUACUUUGAAAAAAUUAGAGUGUUUAAAGCAGGCUCACGCUUGAAUACAUUAGCAUGGAAUAAUGAAAUAGGACGUUUGAUUCUAUUUUGUUGGUUUCUAGGAUCGACGUAAUGAUUAAUAGGGAUAGUUGGGGGCAUUAGUAUUCAAUUGUCAGAGGUGAAAUUCUUGGAUUUAUUGAAGACUAACUACUGCGAAAGCAUUUGCCAAGGAUGUUUUCAUUAAUCAAGAACGAAAGUUAGGGGAUCGAAGACGAUCAGAUACCGUCGUAGUCUUAACCAUAAACUAUGCCGACUAGGGAUCGGAUGAUGUUAAUUUUUUAAUGACUCAUUCGGCGCCUUACG
rnacentral:rRNA from 1 species